UUGGGGAAAUUUGCUUGCUUGAUCACGAAUCUUCGGUGGAGCAAACGUGCCGUCAUCUUCGACUCAACAGUAAUUCUAGCCAGUCUUCGUCACACCGGAUCUUCAGGGUGAGCUAAUGCUUCUAGCUUGGACUGGAUCUCCUUCCUCAUGUCUUGAUGCCUUGAAGUUUCGGCAUAGACUAGCU